UUAGGAGAAUUAUAGAGGAACUUUUAUUAUGUAAUCACUAUAUAAUCACUGUAUAAUCUGCCACUAUUAAAAUACACUGUUAAAACAUAUAGAAAUACAUUCAAGUGAUGCAGAGCAAAACACACAGAAGUAAACAGCUGUGAAGUAAGACCAUUCAGACAGCAUAUGCAACAUGUAUUGAUGUAUUGACCAUGACAAAAACAACUUAAAAACAACUUUGCUCAACCUGCAUGGCAAAAGCAUGCAUAGGGAGAAUCAUUUAAAAAGUGUUGAAAUAUGACCUUUAAGAUGUGCAAAAACAGAAAAACAUACAGCCAUCAAUAUAAAGGCUAGAAUCCUAUUGGAGCCUGGAAAUAACGUGAUGCUCAUGCUACACCACUGUUUCAUGAUGACUAUAGGAAAAACCUGUAUAUAAACUGUGGGUUUUGGAACAUUGGUAGGAGAGAGAUCGAUCGACCAACUCUGCUGUAACAAUAAACUGCUUCAACUUGACAACUUCGAAGACCUCAGCCUCUUUUUUGAAACUUAGAAGAUGUUUGACGAGAUCCAGCGCAACUUUCCACAACAUAAUUUGGCGCCCAACGUGGGGCUGGAUUGAGGGUGGUCGAAAGAAGGUGUCAGUGGGCCGAUCCUUGGCAGACACUCACGCAGAGACCAAAAAGCGCGCAGAUUAAAAAAGUUAUUUAUUUACAGGAACAGAACAGGGAACGACAGAAGGAAGCUGUCUUGGAAGAUGUUCCUGCUGUUGCUGCUGCUGAUGAUGCAAAUAAAGAUGAGUGAAAGCCUAGAGGUAACUUCUCCAAAGGUAAAGGAUUAUCUCAAUCUGACAGAGUUGGACAAGAGUAUCAAACAAUUGUCUUUUUAAUUUUUUGGAAAGAGGCAAAUAUCCCACAACAAAAUGAAUGUAAAGAACAAUCAUCUAAAGAAAAAUGUCGACCCAGAGGAUAUGCAUUAAUCAAACUGAUACAUAUGCGAUUUAUGAAGAAAUUGACUGACCAAAUCUCAGAUUAUGAACUCUUAGAAGAAACUAAUAACAGUCAUUGGUAUCGUUGGACAAAUACACAGUUGGAAAAUUACAAAUAUCCAAUUGCCCAAUAUGUUUUCUAAUAGCCUCUAUAAAGCUUAUAGUGGUUAUAAAUCUUUAUGAUUAUAGACAUUGUGCAAAAUACAGAAAAAUAACUGCAAUAUACCAAACAGUGACUCACUGUUUUGCCAGGUUUGAUGUCUUGAUACUAUAGGAAACUUCAAAUUUACAUUAGAGAACAAUGAUAGGUUGAAAAAAGACUGUAAAGAAAUGAACAUCAGAGUUCAACCAGCAGUAAGAGAGAUCCCAAUAAAAUAUGUGAUAAAUAAGAAAUUAGAAUAUGAAUGUUAUAAUCAAACGAGAGGAUAAGAAAAUGUGGAAAAAUUUAAAGGAAAUUGUGCAAUAAUUUGGCAUUUGAAUGACGAAAUGUAGGAAAAAAGAAAAUGCUUAUAUGCAAACCUUCCAAAUGGCUACAGCUAAAAUAAACAGUAUAAUGUUGCCAGUUUCUGAAGCUGCAAUUAUGAAAAAAAGUGAUAAGGCAGUUAACCGCACACUUGGUAUUUGUACUGGACAAUGUACAAUUCGCAAGAUAAUUUCCCCUAAUACAAGAAUAUAUACAAAUAGUACACUAUUACUGGAUCUGUGGAUCAGGAGUAUUAUGCGUCAAUAUUCCAUUGAAUUGAAAAGGGAUUUGUACUAGAGUUAAACUAAUACAGAAAGUGAUAAAAUGAUUGGGUUAAAGAGGAAAAUGACCUAGAAAGACCAAAGAAUUGAAAGCAGCAGAAUUAUAAGCAUAAAGUUAAGAGACAAUAUACACCUGACUCAGAAGUUCACAUAGAUACAAUUGGCCAACCUAGUGGAAUACCAGAUACGUUUAAAGUUAGAGAUAUAGUAAAAGCAGGACUCGAGGUUAUAGUAGUGUGUAUAAUUGCAAUGAAAAAUUUAAGUAUGGGCUAACUACAUUUAUUACAACCAACAAAGAUUUAUAAAUUACACAAAUGAUGCCCCUAACAGCAUUAGGAGAACAAUUGGCUCUGACAAGUAAAAUUGCUUGUCAAAACAGUGCACCAUUUGCUGCACCCUGUAUAUCCCAAAUAAUACUGCCCCAGGUGGAUCUUUCAUGGAAGCUAUGCGGAAAUUGGAAAACCUGAGAAAAGUAAAAGAAAAUGCUGGAGCGGAUAAGAACUUUAGUGACUGGUUUGCUUCUGUAUUUGGAUCAUGGAGACAAUAAUUGCUCAAGAUUGAAAUAUGAGCAAUUGCUCUACUUGUUUUUGUCCUUCUCUUUUGUUGUGUUGUGCCUUUUCUUAGAUUGAUGCUGGUUAAAGCUGCUGUCAAGCAGAUGGCAAAUGAGCAAGUGAAUAGAAUUGUGCAUGACUGCAGAGACCAUGUCUAUGAAGUCUUUGGGCCAGAUUUGGACCAGUUGGAUGAGUUUAAAAAAAAAACAAUUACUACUUUAAAUUUCUUUUUGUCUUUAAUUUCUUUGAAUUUAUAACUUUUUACUAACUUUUAAAAGAUGAUGAGAGUUUUAAGCAAGGCAUCAUCCAUAAUACAGGAAAAAGCUAAUAGAAUGGACUAAACUGAAAAAUUGUGUGAUUAUUUAAGCCCUAUUUACUAGUAUACAUUUCUGUAUGUAUUUAGGAGUUCAUCGAAGCUGCCGGAGCUCAUAUCAGAUGUACACGGGGAAAGAGGGAAGAUGAUUACGGUUAAGGGACACCUUGGUAUACAAUGGCAGGAGAUGCAGAAGAGCAGACUCUACUGGCGGUUUAAAAACCCACUGUCUGCUCCAACACCAGACAGUACUCAGAAGUACCUCUGGCGACGUGGGAUAAAACAUCAGAAAUGGCUCUUUUACAGGCGCAGAGAAUAUUCUACAACUAUAUGAUUUCUAUUAAACGAUGAUCAAUCAAGUAUAUAUGAUGUAUACCCACAACUGUGAGCAAGGCUGACAAGCAUAUGAUUUUAACCUGUCUAAUGAUUAUUGUGUGUUGAACUCCCCAAAAAAAGUAUUCAGUUAGGGAGAGCGGGAUCUUUUACUCCCUUUAAAGUCAAAAGUAGAGGGAGAUGUUUGGUUCUGUUUCUCCUCUGAAGUGCGGCGGAAGGAUGCUGACAAUUGAUAAGGAUGUAGAUGGGCAACUUUUUGGUUGCACAAGUAUGUUAAGACUUUGCAAGUGUUGGAUUCUUAAGUUGCACUUCAGCGAGGGAUUUAGGAAAAGGACUUUUUUGAUUAAGUCCUUAAGGGGGGAUUUAUUUAGGAGAAUUAUAGAGGAACUUUUAUUAUGUAAUCACUAUAUAAUCACUGUAUAAUCUGCCACUAUUAAAAUACACUGUUAAAACAUAUAGAAAUACAUUCAAGUGAUGCAGAGCAAAACACACAGAAGUAAACAGCUGUGAAGUAAGACCAUUCAGACAGCAUAUGCAACAUGUAUUGAUGUAUUGACCAUGACAAAAACAACUUAAAAACAACUUUGCUCAACCUGCAUGGCAAAAGCAUGCAUAGGGAGAAUCAUUUAAAAAGUGUUGAAAUAUGACCUUUAAGAUGUGCAAAAACAGAAAAACAUACAGCCAUCAAUAUAAAGGCUAGAAUCCUAUUGGAGCCUGGAAAUAACGUGAUGCUCAUGCUACACCACUGUUUCAUGAUGACUAUAGGAAAAACCUGUAUAUAAACUGUGGGUUUUGGAACAUUGGUAGGAGAGAGAUCGAUCGACCAACUCUGCUGUAACAAUAAACUGCUUCAACUUGACAACUUCGAAGACCUCAGCCUCUUUUUUGAAACUUAGAAGAUGUUUGACGAGAUCCAGCGCAACUUUCCACAACAAGAUAACAUUUCCACUG